GACGAACGCUGGCGGCGUGCCUAAUACAUGCAAGUCGAGCGGACAUCUUAAAAGCUUGCUUUUGAGAUGUUAGCGGCGGACGGGUGAGUAACACGUGGGCAACCUGCCUGUAAGACUGGGAUAACUCCGGGAAACCGGGGCUAAUACCGGAUAGUUUUUCUCCUUGCAUAAGGAGAAAGGGAAAGACGGUUUCGGCUGUCACUUACAGAUGGGCCCGCGGCGCAUUAGCUAGUUGGUGAGGUAACGGCUCACCAAGGCGACGAUGCGUAGCCGACCUGAGAGGGUGAUCGGCCACACUGGGACUGAGACACGGCCCAGACUCCUACGGGAGGCAGCAGUAGGGAAUCUUCCGCAAUGGACGAAAGUCUGACGGAGCAACGCCGCGUGAACGAUGAAGGCCUUCGGGUCGUAAAGUUCUGUUGUUAGGGAAGAACAAGUACCAGAGUAACUGCUGGUACCUUGACGGUACCUAACCAGAAAGCCACGGCUAACUACGUGCCAGCCGCCGCC
rnacentral:rRNA from 1 species